AGCUCCGAGCAGUGGAUCACUCGGCUCGCGGGUCGAUGAAGAACGCAGCCAGCUGCGAGAUUUGGUGUGAAUUGCAGAACACUCAGAUCACUGAUUAUUCGAACGCACAUUGCGGCUCCUUCCCUUCGGGGGUGGAGCCUCGCCUGUCCGAGGGUCGCAUGAAGCUUGCAUAGGGAAAGACGAUUCCCGUGACGGCCUUUCGGGUCCCGGUACCCGUGGGUCGAGAAGAGGCGGAAGUGUCCGCCCCAGUGGUGGACGGCGAAGAGAAAGCGACCUCGGAUCAGACGAGAGAACCCGCUGAACUUAAGCAUAUCAGUAAGCGGAGGAAAAGAAAACAACAGUGAUUCCCCCAGUAGCGGCGAGCGAAAAGGGAAGAGCCCAGCGCCGAAUCCCUGCGUCGCGAGACGCCUCGGGACCUGUGGCGUAUGGAGUGCGUCGCGUCCGAACCGGGGAACGGAGGCAAGUCCCCUCGAGCGGGGCCCUUUUGCCGUGGCGGGUGCAAGACCCGUGCCCUCCGCGCCCCGGAUGGGAAGGACGACUCCGGAGAGUCGGGUUGCUCGGGAGUGCAGCCCCAAGACGGGAGGUAGACUCCUCCCAAGGCUAAAUACGACCGCGAGACCGAUAGCAAACAAGUACCGUGAGGGAAAGUUGAAAAGAACUUUGAAGAGAGAGUUCAAGAGACGUGAAACUGUUCGGAGGGAAACGGGUGGGGCCUCGAAGUCCUCGACUCGGGGUGGAUUCAGUCGGUGCCGACCGACGCAAUUCCGCUCCGAAGAAGGGAAGUCGCGGCCGGCGGAGGCGAUCCCGGAGUCUGGGGGCGUAUCCGGGAGGUCCCUUUUGGGUACUGCCCGAGUUCCCCUUUCGAUGGAGAGAGCCUCUGCCGCGUAUUCUUUUGGGAAGCGUCCUCCGGGGCGCGUCGGUUCCGUCUCGGGCCGGUCGUCGUGCGUGGGACGCGCCAUCUUCCUAGGGGGUGGCUGGCGGUUCCGUGUGCGGCUGGCCGGUUUCCGGGCGUUUCUCGAUGCGUUCCGGGGCUCGUCCCGCGACGAGUAGGUCGGUCCCCCACCCGACCCGUCUUGAAACACGGACCAAGGAGUCUUACUGCGGUGCGAGUCUAGGGGAAUUAAUUCCACGGCGUAGCGAAAGCGAAGAUCGCGAUCCCUUCGGCUUUUAGUCGAGGGGCGCAGCGACCGCCUUUCCUAGACCAAGGAGGAAGGAGCGAGAGCACCUCGGUAAGGACCCGAUAGGUGGUGAACUAUUCUCGGGCAGGACGAAGGCCGAGGAAACUCGGCUGGAGGUCCGAAGCGGUUCUGACGUGCAAAUCGAUCGCCAGACCCGAGUAUAGGGGCGAAAGACCAAUCGAACCACCUGGUAGCUGGUUCCCUCCGAAAUUUCCCUCAGGAUAGCUGUCGCUCAUUUUGGCCAGUCUCGUUCCCGUAGAGAGAAUGAUUAGAGCGCUUCGGGGACGCCCGUGUCACUCGACCUCUUCUCAAACUACGAAGGGACGUGAAAUCGGUUCUCUCCCGAUCGGAGACCGAAGUGCGGAUGCGAGUGACGUGUGGGCCAUUUUUGGUAAGCAGAACUGGCGCUGCGGGAUGAACCGAACGCCGGGCUAAGGCGCCCUAUGCGGGACGCUCAGAGACCCCAUGAAAGGUGUCGGUUGCUAGAGACAGCAGGACGGUGGCCACGGAAGUCGGCACCCGCCAAGGAGUGUGUAACAACUCACCUGCCUAAGCAACCGGUCCUGAAAAUGGAUGGCGCUCCAGCGUCGUAGCCCAUGCCCGGCCGGUGGCCCAUUAAUUGUGAUUAUUAGGGGUCACCGAGUAGGAGGGUCGCGUCGGUGGGCGUAGAAGGUCGCGGCGUGAGUCGGACUGGAGCCACCGGCGGUGCAGAUCUUGGUGGUAGUAGCAAAUAUUCCAGUGAGAGCCUGGAAGACUGAAGCACGGAGAAGGGUUUCAUGUGAACAGCAGUUGAACAUGAGUGAGUCGGUCCUGAGGUCCUACGCCAAUGCGUAUAUUUAAAUCUUUCAUUAAUUAAAGUGUUGUGAGAGAAAGAUGAAGACCGAAAGGGAAAAGGGUUAAUAUUCCUUUACCCGGACACGGAGAUCUCGGCCUCCGGGUCGAUAGUGCGGUAACGCAACCGAACUCGGCGACGUCGUCGGAGGACCCGGAGAAGAGUUGACUUUUCUUCGUAAGACGGCGUGUCCCUCGAAUCUCGUCGCGAGGAGAAAGGGACGCUGCCGUCGAAAGAGCACGGUCGCUGCUGCCGUGUCCGGUGCGCCUCCGCCGGCCCUUGAAAAACCGAGGGAGAGGGUGUGAUUUUCGUGCCGGUCCGUACCCAUAUCCGCAGCAGGUCUCCAAGGUGAACAGCCUCUAGUCUCUAGAACAAUGUAGGUAAGGGAAGUCGGCAAGUUCGAUCCCUAACCUCGGAAAAAGGAUUGGCUCUUGUGUCUCGGUCUCUCUGGACUUCCAUAAUUAUUUCUGAAGCUCCUAUCGUGACGGGGACUGGUCCGAGUGUGCGAUCGGACUCCGUACUCGAGGUGGGGUGGACGGUGGAAGGUCCUUCUCCCUAAUCAAUGGGGGUUUGGAGUGCCGGAGGACGAGCAUGAGACGAACAAGAACUGGCACGGACCCGGGGAAUCCGACUGUCUAAUUAAAACAAAGCAUUGCGACGGCCGGAGAGCGGUGUUGACGCAAUGUGAUUUCUGCCCAGUGCUCUGAAUGUCAAAGUGAAGAAAUUCACCGAAGCGCGGGUAAACGGCGGAAGUAACUAUGACUUUCUUAAGGUAGCCAAACGCCUCGUCAUCUAAUUAGUGACGCGCAUGAAUGGAUUAACGAGAUUCCCACUGUCCCUAUCUACUAUCUAGCGAAACCGCAGCCAAGGGAACGGACUUGGCAAAUUCAUCGGGGAAAGAAGACCCUUUCGAGCUUGACUCUAGUCUGACUUUGUUCUAAGGCAUUAUUGGCGUAGUCUAGGUGGGAAUUCCCUCCGGGGAGUGAGAUGUGAAAUACCACUACUUUGAUCGCCUUGGGACUCAUUCGGUGAUGUUCUAGAAUUUUUUCCAAGUGAAAGAAUUGUUUCAAUCGUGCUUUGAAGCGUCGCCCAUUGGGGGCGAUGCGAGGAACUCCGAAGACAGUGUCAGGCAGGCAGUUUGUCUGGGGCGGAACAUCUGUCAAAUGGCAACGCAGGUGUCCCAAGGCCGGCUCGGCCGGGACGGAAACCUGGCUUAGAGCAAAGGGGCAAAAGCCGGCUUGCUCUCGUUCUUCAGCAAGGAAGGGGACCUGGAAACAGGGGCCCAUCGAUCCUUUCUUUUAUAUUAGAUGUGAGAGUCUCACGGGAGAGGUGUCGGAAAAGUUACCGGAGGGAUAACUGGCUUGUGGCGGCCAAGCGUUCAUAGCGACGUCGCUUAUUGAUUCUUCGAUGUCGGCUCUUCCUAUCAUUGCGAAGCAGAAUUCGCAAAGCGUUGGAUUGUUCACCCACUAACAGGGAACGUGAGCUGGGUUUAGACCGUCGUGAGACAGGUUAGUUUUACCCUCAUGAAGACGGGUCGUCGCUACGGUCAAACUCUGCCCAGUACGGAAAGGGAAACCCUAGGUUGGGACAUUUGGUACUGCGCUCGGUGGGUGCCGCCGGUGGCGCGAAGCUACCAUCCGGUGGGAGAACGGCUGAACGCCUCUAAGCCGGAAGCCCGCCCGGUGAUGGUGAGGAUAAUCUCUUAGUGCCCCUCGCUUCGAACGGUUUUCGAUAGGGUCCGAUAGGGUUUUCUUCCCCCUACAGACAAAGGGGAGGAGCCCCGGGUCCGACGGAACCCAUUCUAGCUCCGAGACUUGCAAGGGCUCCCCCACAAGACUCGGGGGCCCUGCCGGGAAGAGCCUGCCUCCGGGCGGGUGUGAGGUGUGCGGGCGCAGAGUCGUCUGCAGACGACGUUCCAUCUGGACGGGGUGUCGUAAGUAGCAGAGCACCCACCACAGUGCGAUCUACUGAGACUCAUCCUC